GCCCCUAUAGCUCAGUCGGUAGAGCAGCAGACUUUUAAUCUGUGGGUCGCGGGUUCGAACCCCGCUGGGGGCA
rnacentral:tRNA from 1 species